rnacentral:rRNA from 1 species
UAGGGAAUAUUGCACAAUGGAGGAAACUCUGAUGCAGCGACGCCGCGUGAGUGAUGAAGGACUUCGGUUCGUAAAGCUCUGUUGUAGGGGAAAAAUAAAGUGAUUGUACCCUGCGAGAAAGGAUCGGCUAACUUCGUGCCAGCAGCCGCGGUAAGACGAGGGAUCCUAGCGUUGUUCGGAAUCAUUGGGCGUAAAGCGGAUGUAGGUGGCUUAAUAAGUCAGGUGUGAAAGCCCGGGGCUCAACCUCGGAAGUGCAUUUGAUACUGUUAAGCUUGAGUGCUAGAGAGGUUACUGGAAUUCCUGGUGUAGUGGUGAAAUACGUAGAUAUCAGGAGGAACACCGGAGGCGAAGGCGGGUAACUGGCUAGACACUGACACUCAGAUCCGAAAGCGUAGGUAUC